CACGUAGGCACCAAGCGUUGUCCGGAUUUAUUGGGCGUAAAGAGCUCGUAGGCGGUUCGGUAAGUCGGGUGUGAAAACUCUGGGCUCAACCCAGAGCCGCCACCCGAUACUGCUGUGACUCGAGUGCGGUAGGGGAGCGGGGAAUUCCUGGUGUAGCGGUGAAAUGCGCAGAUAUCAGGAGGAACACCAGUGGCGAAGGCGGUCGACCUGU
rnacentral:rRNA from 1 species